GACGAACGCUGGCGGCGUGCCUAAUACAUGCAAGUCGAACGCUUCUUUCCUCCCGAGUGCUUGCACUCAAUUGGAAAGAGGAGUGGCGGACGGGUGAGUAACACGUGGGUAACCUACCCAUCAGAGGGGGAUAACACUUGGAAACAGGUGCUAAUACCGCAUAACAGUUUAUGCCGCAUGGCAUAAGAGUGAAAGGCGCUUUCGGGUGUCGCUGAUGGAUGGACCCGCGGUGCAUUAGCUAGUUGGUGAGGUAACGGCUCACCAAGGCCACGAUGCAUAGCCGACCUGAGAGGGUGAUCGGCCACACUGGGACUGAGACGCGGCCCAGACUCCUACGGGAGGCAGCAGUAGGGAAUCUUCGGCAAUGGACGAAAGUCUGACCGAGCAACGCCGCGUGAGUGAAGAAGGUUUUCGGAUCGUAAAACUCUGUUGUUAGAGAAGAACAAGGACGUUAGUAACUGAACGUCCCCUGACGGUAUCUAACCAGAAAGCCACGGCUAACUACGUG
rnacentral:rRNA from 1 species